rnacentral:lncRNA from 1 species
CGGCUGGGUCUCUUUUGUCGCUUCCAGAUAGGUGUUGCCAGUUAACAUUUUGAUCACUCUCCUUGUGCUUCAUUUCACUUCCUCAGUACUCCUUUUUCUCAACGAGGAAUGGUCCAUUGUCAUUUCGUGACAUACUCUGGAUCUCUGCUAAAAAUAUAUUGUCCCAAAUAUUUAUAUGUUCCAUGUGCCCAGAGUACAAAUAUGAAGAGUACAGUCCACAAACCUUUGUCUGCAAACUGCUCACGCUGUUUAAGGAGAGUGGAUUUGUUGACCUCACUAGGGACAAAGUUGUGA